rnacentral:rRNA from 1 species
UACGUAGGGCGCGAGCGUUGUCCGGAUUUAUUGGGCGUAAAGAGCUCGUAGGCGGCUCGUCGCGUCGACUGUGAAAACCUGGGGCUCAACCCCGGGCCUGCAGCCGAUACGGGCAGACUAGAAUUCGGUAGGGGAGACUGGAAUUCCUGGUGUAGCGGUGAAAUGCGCAGAUAUCAGGAGGAACACCGGUGGCGAAGGCGGGUCUCUGGGCCGAUAUUGACGCUGAGGAGCGAAAGCGUGGGGAGCGAACAGG